rfam:Peptoniphilus grossensis strain 35-6-1 unitig_0, whole genome shotgun sequence.
UAAGUAAAUUGGUCAACUGCACAUAUGUGAGGAAAGUCCGCGCUCCACAGAGCAAGGAUGCUGGCUAACGGCCAGUGGGGGCGACCCUAAGGCUAGUGCAACAGAAAUAUACCGCCCUUUGGGUAAGGUUGGAAAGGCGAGGUAAGAGCUCACCAGAUCAUUAGUGAUAAUGAUGCUAUGUAAACCCCAUUCGGAGCAAAACCAAAUAGGAAUAACAGAUGUUGCUCGCAUCUGCCGGUAGGUAGGUUGCUAGAGAUUAUAGGCAACUAUAAUUCAAGAUAGAUAGUUGACAAAACAGAACGCGGCUUAUAGAUUUGCUUAUUAU